rnacentral:rRNA from 1 species
UGUAAGCGUAUACCAAAGUUGUUGCAGUUAAAACGCUCGUAGUCGGAAUUUGGCAGUUCCGGAUGUGUGCACGUCGUGUGCGCACUUCGCGGGGAUUGCUUUUGUGGUGUUGCGUAGGAUGAGGCACUUUUAUUAGUGAACGUCCUCACGCAACCACUUUUUACUGUGAGAAAAUCAGAGUGCUCAAAGCAGGCAUUUGCCGUGAAUGUAUUAGCAUGGAAUAAUAGAAUAGGACUUGGUUCUAUUUUGUUGGUUUGUUGGGACUGAGUAAUGAUUAAGAGGGACAGUUGGGGGCAUUUGUAUUUCGGUGCUAGAGGUGAAAUUCUUAGAUUACCGAAAGACAAACUGCUGCGAAAGCGUCUGCCAAGGAUGUUUUCAUUGA